rnacentral:misc_RNA from 1 species
UUGUUUUGCUUCGUUGUUCU